CUGUUUCUCCAACUUAGGCAAACUCAUAUUCUAAAAUAACCUUGUAGAUGAUACCAAGAACUUGCUGAGCAGGAGUAUGCCUAGCAUUUGCGAGAUCCGAGGCUCUUGAACGCAUAUCUAAGAAAGCCUGGGGUGCAUGCUGCCCUCUGAUAUAAUCAGCUAGUUUCCAGAAAUCAUCUAUAAGGUUUCUUGUGAUGAAUGUAAAUUUGCUUGUACGGGAGAAACAGGUAACUUAAACAGGUGAACUAUGCAGCAUAAGAAUUAUGUCAGUAAGAAGCAGGCAUCAAGAAGCACUGUCGCUAAAUGCGCAUAGACU
rnacentral:lncRNA from 1 species